GUAUUGCACAAUUAACAAGCUUUCAACCUUGCAAUCUGCCUACCAUCACAUUAGUAUCACUCUUGCUAAAGAAGCCUUCAUAUCUGCUGCUCAAUUUACCUCCAACUUGACAUUGCGCAAACUCGACAAAAAUUACCCUAAACUCACCUUCUUAUCUCCAGUUCACUGUCACACACACAAAGUUACUAUAUGUGAAAAUCCUUCAAUUACUGCAACCCAAUGAGGCAGCUAGUAUUAUUGAUACAGAAAGACAUUGAAA